rnacentral:rRNA from 1 species
ACUCCUACGGGAGGCAGCAGUGGGGAAUAUUGGACAAUGGGCGAAAGCCUGAUCCAGCCAUGCCGCGUGAGUGAUGAAGGCCCUAGGGUUGUAAAGCUCUUUCACCGGUGAAGAUAAUGACGGUAGCCGGAGAAGAAGCCCGCCGCAACUUCGUGCCAGCAGCCGCGGUAAUACGAAGGGCGUAGCGUUGUUCGGAAUUACUGGGCGUAAAGCGCACGUAGGCGGAUUGUUAAGUGAGGGUGAAAUCCC